rnacentral:rRNA from 1 species
UACGAAGGGGGCUAGCGUUGCUCGGAAUCACUGGGCGUAAAGCGCACGUAGGCGGCUUUCUAAGUCAGGGGGUGAAAAUCCUGGAGCUCAACUCCAGAACUGCCUUUGAUACUGGAGAGCUUGAGUCCGGAAGAGGUGAGUGGAACUCCGAGUGUAGAGGUGAAAAUUCGUAGAUAUUCGGAAAGAACACCAGUGGCGGAAGGCGGGUCUCUGGACAGUUCUGA